rnacentral:rRNA from 1 species
GAUGAACGCUGGCGGCGUGCCUAAUACAUGCAAGUCGAGCGAACAGACGAGGAGCUUGCUCCUCUGACGUUAGCGGCGGACGGGUGAGUAACACGUGGAUAACCUACCUAUAAGACUGGGAUAACUUCGGGAAACCGGAGCUAAUACCGGAUAAUAUAUUGAACCGCAUGGUUCAAUAGUGAAAGACGGUUUUGCUGUCACUUAUAGAUGGAUCCGCGCCGCAUUGGCUAGUUGGUAAGGUAACGGCUUACCAAGGCAACGAUGCGUAGCCGACCUGAGAGGGUGAUCGGCCACACUGGAACUGAGACACGGUCCAGACUCCUACGGGAGGCAGCAGUAGGGAAUCUUCCGCAAUGGGCGAAAGCCUGACGGAGCAACGCCGCGUGAGUGAUGAAGGUCUUCGGAUCGUAAAACUCUGUUAUUAGGGAAGAACAAAUGUGUAAGUAACUAUGCACGUCUUGACGGUACCUAAUCAGAAAGCCACGGCUAACUACG